rnacentral:lncRNA from 1 species
CUUUAAGAAGUGUUAUUUUCAAUUCUUCAGUUCAACUUCGACGAUGAAUUUUCUAAAAGCUUCUGGAACUAAAGACAGGUGUGAAGGGAACCUCAGGCACAGAUCCCCCACCUUCAAAAGCAUCAGGCACGGAGGGCUCUGCGCAUCAGGGAAGCCCAUG